CCUACGGGUGGCAGCAGUGAGGAAUAUUGGUCAAUGGACGCAAGUCUGAACCAGCCAUGCCGCGUGCAGGAAGACGGCUCUAUGAGUUGUAAACUGCUUUUGUACGAGGGUAAACGCAGAUACGCGUAUCUGUCUGAAAGUAUCGUACGAAUAAGGAUCGGCUAACUCCGUGCCAGCAGCCGCGGUAAUACGGAGGAUUCAAGUGUUAUCCGGAUUUAUUGGGGUUAAAGGGUGCGUAGGCGGUCGGAUAAGUUAGAGGUGAAAUCCCGAGGCUCAACUUCGGCAUUGCCUCUGAUACUGGUCGGCUAGAGAGUAGUUGCGGUAGGCGGAAUGUAUGGUGUAGCGGUGAAAUGCUUAGAGAUCAUACAGAACACCGAUUGCGAAGGCAGCUUACCAAGCUACUUCUGACGUUGAGGCACGAAAGCGUGGGGAGCGAACAGGAUUAGAUACCCGUGUAGUC
rnacentral:rRNA from 1 species